ensembl:lncRNA
GUAGGAUCCGGUGACGCCUCUUCCCGUCUCCCCAGCCGCUCGGGCUCCGGCUCUCGGUGCGGCAGCGCCAUCUGGUGCCGAGUGUCCCGCCGCCCGUAGAGGGGGCGCGCGCCUUUCUCUCGGAACCUUCCAGAGAACCCGCGGCCUAGGCUUUCUUUUCUCCCGCCCUCGGGAAGGGAGGGACCCGAGUCUCCGCCCUGCCGAGUUCCCGCGCAAGAGGUCCUUGGCCGGCCUUUGAAGCGGAAGCUGCUCGGAGGAGGAGCUGUAUAUGCGCAAGAUGGAGGGCAAACAGUUCUUUUUCUAGUUUUAAGCCCAGGAAAAGCGGUUCUCUCUUGUUUGGCUUUCUCAAGGCUCGUCCUGGGCUGCUCCCCGUCAUCCUCGCGUCAAUUCCUUACCCUGUCGGGAGUGGGGGCCCCCGUUUCUCGCGUGGUGGGAAGAUGGCACAGGCUUUGUGGCUUAGGUUGGCCUCUGCGGUAACCGCCUUGUUUCUUUCCCUGAUUAAAGCAGUGUUGUAAAAGGGUGCAGUGUGUAUUGGGAGCCCAUCGAGAAGGGGAGAAUUUAGAGCAUAAUUUGCUUUCAGACAGCCCAAAACAUUUUGGAAAAGUAGCCCCAGAAACACUCGGGCUGAAUAUAGAUUUGUUUGCAUGGCCUUUUUCUUUUGGAUAACCAGAGAGGGAAAGUCAUUUCCCCAAAGUCAACAAAAUCAACACACAUUCUCUCUUGAUAAUGAAUUCUUGCUUGGAAACGUAGAUUUUCUUGGAAGCUUGUAGGCCUGACAAUCUUAGAUAGCCAGCGUAGGACUGUUUCGAUGUUCUGUUGGAAUGGUGCUUUAACUGAGUAUCAAAGUGUGUAGUGAAAGCUGGUGGAGUGAGCUUCCCUUGGAAUUCAGAUGUUCGCACCUACUAACUUUAGUGCUCCCCUGCGCGGUUCGCCUGUAGCAGUGGUUCUCAGACUUGAGCGUGCGUCAGUAGUCCUUGGAAGGCUUAUGAAAACAGGUUAGUCUUAACCGAACGUUUCUAACUGGGAAGGUCUGGGGUGGAGCUCCUGGAUGAUGAUGGCUCUGGUUAGGUCUCUGGUGACAGUUAAGAAGUUGGUACUAGGAUCACAGCUGGAAUAAUUUAGAGUUGAGGAUUGCUUUGUUAUUAAUGCUCUUGUUAUUUCAGAAGAGAUGCUUACGAGACUAAAACUGGAGAAAUUAGUAGGACUUUGGCCCCACUGCUGGAAAGCGAUAAGCUAAGCCCUAGAACCAGGAAAGUUCUACCUAAAUGAGUGUUCACACGUUAAAGCAACUACGACAUAUCAAUGUGUUCUGCAUAUAAUCGUGGUAGAGGCUGCUGUGAUACCAGUUUCUGCAGGCGUUUUCUCAAUUCUGUCAAAUCCUGACUAUGCCGCUGCAUUCAUUGACCUCAACACAGUGAAUAAAGCGCACAGCACACCCUUUAAAUAGAGGACCACUCUGGUGAAGCUUAAGGAAAGCAAAUUCACCAUGGAUUCUAUGACCGUUGCAUACCGCUGUGAUCGAGGACUUGAGCGUCCUAACCAAGGAAUGGAGACAACAUGAGAAGUGGAACGUGAAAACAAGGUCCAGAAGAUCACAUUAUCAAGGACAUAAUGAAUAGAGCCACUGCCCAAGCCACCUAAAAUGUAUCAGUCAAAGUAACCUGGGAGAAGUGAAAAAUUUGGCAGAUCAGAGAAACCUAGAUUCCCAGGUGGAUGUAUUUUAUCAAAUGAAGCUAGGCAAUCCUUGCUGUGUCUGAAUUCCAUCCUUCCAUAAUCUAUUUCUUAUUUCUUGUACCUUACAACAAGCCUGCCAUCACCAAUCAUAUUUAUAUAGGUUCUAGCAUGUACACUAAAUAAUUUUGUAUUUUGGCUUCGAUUUUCAGCUUCUCAAUUGCCUAAUUUGAUGGUUCAGUAAUUUCUUAUUCCUCUACACCUUAAGCAAGCCAUUGCAUGCCCUUCCAAUAUUCCCACAGUGCAAUUUUUAUGCUUUAAUGCACUCAUCAGCUUUUAUCCAAAACUUAUUUAAGCUUCACUUGGUCAUGGUUUAAAUAUAUAUUGCUGAAGCCGAAUGCUUCGACCCUGCCAACUCACCACUAACACUCUUUGCUUCAAGAAAUAAAUACAAAGGCCCAACUUUUUAUAAAAUUCAUAACAAAUAUUCUGAUAGGAAUAACAAACACAAAACCGACAAUGGCUAAAUUUUAACUGGAGAGCUCAGUAAAGAAUGUUGAUAUCUUUGUGAAAACAGCUGACAGUGGCCUAGGGAAAAUCGAAUCAUAGUAGAAAUAAUUAACAUAAAAUAUAACUGAUAGCAGCUAAAACUGCACAAGUUGGAAUCUGUUGCAGAUUAUAAAUUGACAGAAGAAUCAAAGCUUGGUAAUAUUUACAUAAUAGAAAAUGGAAUUUCAUAGAAAUAAUGGCCAACAGAGCAAAUUUACAAUGGUGAAGCUGUAAUUGAUAAAACUUAAUAUGGACAAAAAUUGUCGUAGGAAUCAAAUCUUCAUUUAAUUUACACAGAAAAGUGAUAGCAAUGGAUCAUUUCAUAAAAAUAAAAAUGAAAGUGUGUGAAAAGUGAAAGUGGUUCAGCUGCAUUGUGUAGAGAAUUGAUCUGUUGGUUAAAAUAGUUUAAUGGAAUUUGUUCUGGAAUAUUGUUUCAUCAAUGUUACUAUACUUCUGAUUGAAACACUUGUAGUUAUAAACACAGAGUCAAAACAUCCUCAGUGUCAAAAGAGCUGGGUCAGAAUGCCCUGUGCCCAUCUCCUACCAGGAGUCCCCCUUCUUAUAAUCACUGAUGCUUCUCUUGGAAGUCUGUAUGUAAACAGGGUCACUGUUUGUGUGCCACUGUGUAUGUCACUACCUAUAAAUAAAAUGUCAAAAUAUGUU